GCUGUCAUAGCUCAGGGGUAGAGCACUUCAUUGGUAAUGAAGAGGUCCUGGGUUCAAUUCCCAGUGACAGCA
rfam:Acidocella aminolytica 101 = DSM 11237 DNA, contig: Aam_073.